GCCCGGAUGGCGGAAUUGGUAGACGCACAUGGUUCAGGUCCAUGCGGUGGCAACACUGUGGAGGUUCGAGUCCUCUUCCGGGCACCA
rnacentral:tRNA from 2 species